UAAUGAAGUCAGCAAUCUUCACUUCGAAGGUUUCUCGCUGGAAGCCUGUCGGCGGUACGGAUUUGACCUGGACAACGGACACAGCAUUGGUUUCAAGAAUAUGCAGAUUUAAAACACUGGUGGUUAUGGAAUCCACUGCUCUGGUGACUGUCGGUCUGGGACGGUCUCUAUGUCUGAGAUACAUCACACCUGUGGAGGAAUCGCAAUCGCAGGUGGUGACCGGAAAACACUGGCACCUUCUGGUAACCUGAUAGAAGACAACCACAUCUGGCAGUAUGCACGUGUAGGGGCCGUGGGUUACAACGCCAUCAGUCCUGGAGGGGUGGGGAUAUCCAUGCGCUACAACC